rnacentral:tRNA from 1 species
GAGUAUGUAGCUCAGGUUGGUAGAGCGGUUUCCAAAAGAUUCGCGUCGCUGGUUCGAACCCAGCCAUACAAGCCG